GUCAAAUUCCUUUAUCGAUACAGAAAGCACUGCUGCCUGUUUCUGCUGGUUGCAGGACUGUGCAUAGCCAAUGUGUCAAAAUGCAUAAAAUUAUUUGCCAUAAUUUGAGCCAGCACUGUAUACUGUGCCCUUCCUGUGCCCCAGAUAAUGUUGGUCAGACAGCAGUGUUUGGUUGUUGCUGAACAAUCUGGGUGUGCAUUUGGAGCCAGGCUGAGUCACUCGGUGUGGAAGAACCACUAGCACAGUGGUGUGACAGCUGUGGGAUGGGCUGCAGUAAGAGCUGUGCCAGGCAACAUAGCCUACAGGCCUUGGGUUGGACAUGCCUGCAGUAAGGUUUGGGUCUCCUGUCAGUCCUAUGGCCUGUCUGCCAGGUCAGUAGUAGUCUUUUGAGAACUGUUCCCGCAUGAUAUGAGUGUUGUACCUAUAGCCACUCUAGAGUCCUAGAAGCCUUGCUGAUGUAUUUGGAAGUGGAAGAGCUGUAGCAGUGUGUGUUGUGCCAGGCAUUGCAGCCAGCAGAAAAGCCACAAGAACGUGAAUGUAGCAUAGUAUUUUCCGUGUAGCCAAAGCCCAGGAUCUAGUCACUGGCUCUUGUGGCUUUGGAUACUUUGGUCAGCUUCUGUAUUUAGAAAUUUCUCUUGAAGUUGUAAAGUUUCUUCUAAGAAGCAAACGAUCUAAAUGAAUGGCUGAGUUGGGAAAAUGCAGCAGGCUUCUUAAAGGCAAAAAUUAUGCAAAGACUGCCACUGAGAAGUUUUUCAUUUGAAAUCUAAUUGAAAUAAUGUAAAUAAACAUUGCAUUACUAGCAUUCUUUUCAUGCAAUAUUAGCAGCUUUAAAACAAACAACUAUUCUUUUUAACUUUGCGUUUUUUCUUUCUUUUUUGUCUUCAAACAGGGACGAGGAUGGUAACCCCAGCAUCUUUAAGAAAACUGCUGGAGUCUUGUAAAGAUCUUUCUUUACUCGAUGUGUCCUUCUGUUCACAGAUUGAUAACAGAGUUGUCCUAGAACUGAAUGCCAACUUUCCUAAUGUGUUCAUAAAGAAGAGUUUCACCCAGUGACUCACUACAUAUGCUGCUAUGGAAUCCCUUUGACAGUUAUUUCCUGUGAAUUUGUGCUGAUUUUUUUAUGAAGAGUUAUGAAAUAGUGGAUUGCAUUAAUUAUUUGCACAAAUGGAUGUAGUGAUGUUUUACAGUCCAGCCUAAGUGACACAACAGAUAAAUUCAAGAACCUUCCACCUGAACUUGUAGCAGAAAUGAAAGAGAAAAUUGCCAGCUGCUUCUUGGUGUUGGAUAUAAAGUUUGAGCUGUACACAGUGUCAUAACUGAUGUGUAGAAAACUCCAGACCAAUUUUCUUUACACAGGCAAGACGGUUGGUUUGUAUACAUCUAAUUACCCUGCACAGCAUGUAAAAUAUAGUACUUAAGUUAAUGCAUUAGCACAUGUCCCUUGCACAGGAAUAAAAUCUGUCAAGUUGUAAGAACAAGCAUGUUUGUUCAGUAAAACAGCAAUGAAAGUAGUUUUGGAAGGAGAGCAAUGCGUUUUGGUGAUUUAGUUUUAUAAGGUAUUGGAUUUGGGUUUUUUUGGUGUGUUUCCUUCUUUCCCCAGAAGUGAGAGCUCUAAGUACUGUUGUACUCUCUCUCAUCAGCACUAUUGAAAUGUUGAAGAAGGAAAACUGUUGAUGAACUAUUUACAGGGUUUCUUCCUUUUGCACUUCCUUGGAUGAAGCUUUUCUCUUUUUUUCUUUAAUACCACUGCUAGAAUAUGUUGCUGUGUACAUCAAGAGUUGAGGGUUGUUUUUUUUUUUACCUAUUUAGCUAUUACUGAUGAAUAUGGACCAUGAAAUACAGCUUGUCGUUUGAUAUUGGCUCCACUGUUACUGUCGCGAUGGCACUUACUACCUACUGGAAGAAGAGGGAAAAUAUUCAUCUGGCAGAAAUACAUUAUUGCACUGAGGACCACUGGCAAAGAAUACUUCAUUUCAUGCAGUAAAUAACCAUCCAGUGGUAGAGGACUUCUACAAAUUGUUAAAGAUUUGACAAUCUCUGCAACUCCUGAAUGAACACUCUGAACUCUUGUGCAGGUGCCAAUACUUUUCAAACUGUGUCACAAAACAACUAGAAACCCGUAUCUGAUUUUUAUAAAAAGACCUCAUUCUUUUGAUUUUUUUUUUUUAGUGUUACAGAAUCUUUUGGGAAUUCCAGAUCCAAAGAAGGGCAAUGCACAGUUGGCUUCUUGUUUUAUUUUUUUCCUCUGCACAGAUGGCACUAUGGGAUUUCCAGCCAUAUCCAUUCCACUUUUUUUUUUGGUUGUUUGUUUCUAGUAACCUGGACAAUGUCAGAGAACUUUAAAUUCAGAUUUUGUUUUCCCCACUGACAGAUGUCAACUUUGGCAUGGUUCUGUGUGAAACCUCAUUUCUUUCAAUCAGAUUUAGGUUGAUUUACUUUUCUGGGAACUUUUAAUAUAUAUAUAUAUUUUUUAUCAAUAAGUAAUAUUUUUCAUUGUAAUUUAAUGUUGAAGGCUGUUGUCAAUAUUGUUAAUAUUGAAUUGUUAUUGUCUACAGGUAUUAUCUACCUGUAGAAGAAUACAGGCUUGGAUAAUGGGACUUUAGAAAGAAUAGUAUUUUUAAAAAAAUGUUUUUGUUGAAAAAUUUCACUUCUCAGGGUGCAUCUGUGUUUAUCUUUUUUGUUUUUUUUCUUAAGAGAUCUUGUUUUCCACUGUAAAUAGGAUGGGAUACGGAUGAAGUGAUAUCCAUUGUGCCUUUAAACUGGUAAACUAAAUAGUACAGAGUCAUUGCUGUAGCAUCAGUGAAUCAAAUAAGUGUUUUUGUAAUCAUGUAUGUGUGAAGGAUUUCAUUCUCUAUUGCUUUUUAGGUGGUAUAAAGGAGGUUUAAAUUGACAUUUAGUUGUUCAUACUGAGGGAUUUUUUCUUUCUUUUGUGCCUUCUGUUUAAAGCUGGUUUUAUCAGAAGUUCUCUACUGUAACUUGAAAGAUAAAUUGAAAUCUACUCUUUAUUUGGGCUAUUUAAAACUUGGCUGUUGCUAAUGUAAUUAAUUCAAAUAGCUGAGAAAUAAUUGGGAAAGACUUUCGUCUAUAAUUGUACACUUUAACCUUCAAUCAGUGGGUAAAAAUCUUUUAGCUAUGGCUUUAUACCUCCAAAAUGUCUUCCAGCAAAGCGAGGAAAGACUGGACUUCAUAUUACCGAUAUUUCCAAGAUAAGAAAAUGAGAUACUUUUAUACCUUCCUUAUGUUACAAUGAAGUAAACGUAAGUUGCUGUAUUUUGUGGUUGUUUUAUUUUAUAUUUAGGUGUGUAUAUAUGUACACACGUAUGUACAUUUAUAUAUACACUUAUGUAUAAAUCUCAACAUUUUUCAUGUAAGAAUUACUUGAGUGAAGUACACAUAACAGCAGGAGGUGUUUUCUAGCAGCUGUGUUUUAAAAUGUUGUUCUACAGCUGAUGGAGAGGACCGCGUUUCUCUCCAUCUGUGCAGCAGGAAAAACCUGGGGCCUGGGCAGUACAGGUGUGCUGGAUUUCCUGUGUUGCUUUGCCAAAGUGCCUUUUGUUUGUCUAGAGGUGAGAGAUAUUACAAGGUAUGGUAGAGUGUGAAUGCAAAGUCCGAUAACUACUGUGGUCUCUCUCCAUGUGAAGUGGUCAUAUAGAGGGAAAUUUGUUUUAGUUUCAUUUAAUCCAAAGUGAAUGAUGCCAAUUGUUCUGGAACUGAGUGGUCUUUUCCAAUGGUCAGCCAUCCCUUGGUCACGUUAUCUAAAUUCUGCUUUUAAGGAUACUCCACUUUUUUUUUAUCUUGUCUUUUGAUGUUGUCUAUCUUUCCUAAUCAUUGUAAAAGAUGUGUUUCAGCAAUGAAUGUUAAAAAAUGCAUUGCUAAAAUGCCUUUAAAAAAAAAAAAGUGACAUGCUGUGAAGUUCUCCUGUUCUUAAACUAAAGGGGGAUUUGCUGUAGUGUAUGGAUGAAGUUGGCAUGAGCUGUCAUAUAGAGAGAUAAGUCAUUCAUUCUGGUCAUGUUUAAUGUCAAUGGGAAUUUUACCAUUUAAAACAUCUUCCCAAAUUUUGAUGUUUCUAAUUCAGUGUUGUACUUUCACCGUAUUCAUAAUCAUGAAUUGUUUUGGUUGACAAAAUAGCUUUCUGGACACGGAUGAAGCUGCUUAUGUUUAAAUUAUGCACUUGAUUAAGUACAUUGCUGUGCAGGACUUGUGUAGAAGAACAACUUUUCACAGCAGUUUGAAACUUUUAAUCCCUAUGUACUUAGAGAUCCAAAUUUGAGACAAAAAAAAAAAAAGCCCCAACAAAAUAGGGGAAGCUCAUUGUAUUUCUUGCCCAAUUGUUAGGGCUCUCGUGUCAUCUUUUCCAGAUAUAAGCUGUCCAGUAAUCGUGGUACAUAGUGAGUGGAACUCAGUAAGUGCUUUUUCUCUGAAAGUUAGACAUCUGGUUUAAGUGAGGAAUCUGGGCACCUCUAGAGAGCUAUUAAUCUCCUCCUUAGAUGUUUGAGAAAAGUCAUAUGAAUUGUUUCCUCGGGCCUCCCUGAGGAGGCUCUGGAAGCUGUGAUUUAGUUCAGGUUAGAUACUUUGAUUUAGAAUACUAACCUGAGGUUAAUUCCACCCAGCAUUGUACUAUCAGCCUUGGAAUAGCAAAAGAAGUUAGAACAACAUCCAUCCCCAAACAUCAAAACUUUCAAAAAUCUAUCCAGAAGGAAGCAAAUUAAGGAGAAGCUGGCUUGAAAAGUCUGUCUUUAUAAAGCCAGGAACUGCUUCUACUCUGGAAUCCCUUGCCAAUGUCCAGGGUGUCUUUUUCUUAAAUUGAAAUGCAUCCCCUUUCUCUAUUUUAAAACAUCAUCUACUUAUCUAUCUGGCUAUAUGUAUAGUUCUGUAAAUGCAUGAGAUUAACUGGAAAACAUAAUUAAUAUAUUGCAGUUAUUUUUAUAAUCUUUCAUAUUGCUGUAAUUAAGACUAUGACUACUUUAAGUGCUCUCCUGUCAUCAGAAAUGUUACCCACUGUGCACUUGCAAAAUUGUGUGUUUAGUCCUAAUUUAUACUGUGUGUACUUACUGCAUCUUAUGGGAUAUGUUUCACAGGUGAAAUCUGCAGGACUGCUAAAUUUACAAAAACUAGAUAAAAUGUAGCAUUUUCUUAUAUGGAGCUUGGGAGUGGCUUUAUGUACUGAUUUACAUGUUCAUUAUUACUCUUUUGCAAUGAUUCUAUAUGUUGUAGCUUUUGAUAUUGCUAGGCUAAAGAUUCCUGGUUCAAUGCAUCUGUACAUGCUGUGUUAGACAUGGACAACUUUUUUCCAAAAUAAAAGUGUUUGUCUUUCA